rnacentral:rRNA from 1 species
UACGGAGGGUGCGAGCGUUGUCCGGAAUCAUUGGGCGUAAAGGGCGCGUAGGUGGCCCGGUCAGCGUGCGGUGAAAGCUCGGGGCUCAACCCCGAGUCGGCCGUGCGAACUGCCGGGCUUGAGCACUGUAGAGGCAGGCGGAAUUCCGGGUGUAGCAGUGGAAUGCGUAGAGAUCCGGAAGAACACCGCUGGCGAAGGCGGCCUGCUGGGCAGUGGCUGACACUGAGGCGCGACAGCGUGGGGAGCAGACAGG